rnacentral:tRNA from 1 species
UGCCCUGUGGUGUAACUGGCAACAUCCCUACCUUUGAAGUAGAAGAUUCCAGGUUCAAAUCCUGGCAGGGCAGCCA